CAACUAUAAUAAAUGCCAUUAAAACAUCCCCAAUCCCUUUAUACGAUCAUUCCUUUAAUACUCCAAAAAAACUCUCAUUCUUUCUGCGCCGCCUCAAUCAAAACCUACAUUCCCGUUUUGAGUUCAUUCAUUUCAUCAUCGCCACUGCUUCGCUUCGUUCCAUCAUUGAGGUCUUUCAAUUUUGAUGUUGCUGACUAUCUUCAGGAAUCCCUGAGGGAAGUUGGCGCAAUUUGAAGCUCGAUUUGAAGAAGCUCUUCAACUCCUUUAAUAUGUCGACUUCACUUAACAUGUAGCGUUUAUUUUCUUCUUGCUUGUUCAGACAUAUUUCAUGAGCACAAUUAAGAUGAGCCUGAAGCUCAACCCGAGGGCCAAACUGCAACACAGACUCUUCGCUCAGAGAUAUUGCAGGACACAAUGUUAGUGAUAAUGUCAAGCAUCUGACACCUAGCUGACACAAUCGAGUAAAGCAAGUACACCAUUGACACCCCUGCUCUUCUGCAAGCUGUGAUGGAAAUCGAAGGUCUGAAAGAAUCAAAGCGAAUGUACGCCUUCGAGUUUUUGAAUGAGGACCCUACAAAAGCAAGAGCCUUCAUGGCAUACAAUAGAAGACUCAGAAGGAUAUAUUUGUUUCGACUGUUUGGUUGGUGGAGAUAAUAUUUUGAUUAUCUGUUCUACUGCUUCUUGGUCCUCUCUUUUUGAUGGAUAAUCAGUACAUCGUAGAGGAUUAGUGCAAAAGUACAUCUUUUAAUAUGUUUUCUUAGCAA